rnacentral:sRNA from 1 species
AAUAGAGAAACUUAGUCUAAGAACGCCACGUCCUGUGGCAACGACUGAGCCG